AGAACAAGAAGGUUAUGUACAACCUUAUAAAACUUUGGUUAGGCCACAGCUGGAGCACUGUGUGCAAUUUGGGUCACCAUACUAUAGGAAGGGCAUGACUGCACUGGAAAGGGUGCAGAGAUUCACCAGGAUGUUACCUGGGAUGGAAUGUUUUUGUUAUGAGGAGACACAAGAUGGGCUGGGUUUCUUUUCCUUGGAGCAGAGAAGGCAGACGGGGCCCAGAGAUAAGGUAGACAGUAACAAUCUUCCACCACCCACCUUCCUGGCAUAGAUGUCUAUGAACAGAGGACAUAGCAUUGUGAAGAGUGAGGUUUAGAAAGGACGCGAGGAAGGUGGUUUUGCACUGCCCAAGGGGUUGGUAGAGGCAGAGACUCUCACAAUAUGACGAACACUUAUGGCCACGACAUCGAAGGCUAUGGGCCAACUGCAGGUUGUCUAGACCAUGGAUGGCCAUAGUUAUCAAAUUGCCUCUCAGCACACCAACUUCUCCAGUCCACCCUUACUAAAACUCUCUCAGGGUUAAGGAAUGAUUUGCUUCCACUAAGGUUCUGAGGUGACCUGAGAGUUCCACGCGAGAUUCACGGACUGUAACGAGUGCAGCAUCUGGUGCUUGACAGGACAGAGACUGAAGAGCGCAGCACUGGUAAUGAGGACUAUGAAGAGCUGGACUGCAGAGGCAGAAGAGCGAAUUUGGGAUUGCUUCGAGUCGGUGGACUGGACCACGUUCAAGGAUUAGUUAGCGGACCUAAAUGAAUGUGCCAGAGUCAUCACCGACUUCAUAAGGACAUGCGUGGAUGAGUGUGUACCCACAAAAACAUUCCAAGUCUUCCCCAACCAGAAGCCCUGGAUGAACCAAGAGAUUCGUAAUCUGCUGAGGGCUACAUCUGUGGCGUUUAGGGUUGGCGACACAGAAUCAUAUAAGAAGUCCAGGUAUGACCUCUGGAAUGCCAUUGCGAGUGCAAAUAGGCAAUUUCGGACUGAACUGGUGGACGCUUGACAGCUGUGGCAGGACUUGCACAAUACAACUUCCUACAAGGUGAGAUCAGGUAACAUAAGUGGCAACGAUCCGUCACUCCCGGAUGAGCUCAUUGCCUUUUAUGCACACUUUGAUAGGGAGAACUAUGACACACCCACAUAAGCCCCCACAUCUCUGGAUGACCCUGUAAUUUUAGUCUCUGAGUCCAACGCUCGAGCAUGCUUCAAGAGGGUGAAUCCACGAAAGGCAUCUGGGUCCAGACAGCGUACCUGGCAGAGUACUAGAGAUCUGUGCUGACCAACUGGCUGGAGUAUUUAUGGACAUAUUCAACCUCUUGCUUCUGCAGUCUGAGAUCCCACCUGCCUCAAAGAGGCAUCUAUUGUAUCGGUGCCCAAUAAGGGGGAGGUGACCUGCCUCAAUGAUUACCAUCCGGUAGCGCUUACAUCUGUAAUGAAGUGCUUCGAAAGUUCGAUUUUGGCGCGAAUCAACUCUUGCUUCAGGGAUGACCUGGAUCCACUCCAAUUUGCUUACCACCACAGCAGGUCAACAGCAGAUGCAACUUCUCUGGUGCUUCACUCUGCUCUAGACCAUCUGGACAAUAGGAACUCAUACGUCAGGCUGCUGUUCAACAGCUCGACAUUCAACACAAUCAUCCCAUCGAAACUCAUCAUCAAGCUUCAAGACCUGGGCCUCUGUACCUCCCUCUGCAACUGGAUACUCA